AGGUAUGCGCAGUGGCAGUAUCAUAGCUAAUGAGGUUAAUCCGAGGCGUGAUUAUUGCUAGUUGAAAACUUUUCCCAAUACCAAGCGAUCCCAAUCAGGAUCAUAUUCUGUGCUGUACAAAUAG
rnacentral:snRNA from 1 species